rnacentral:rRNA from 1 species
GACGAACGCUGGCGGCGUGCUUAACACAUGCAAGUCGAACGGGAAGGCCCUGCUUUUGGGGGGUGCUCGAGUGGCGAACGGGUGAGUAACACGUGAGUAACCUGACCGUGACUAUGGGAUAACUUCAGGAAACUGGGGCUAAUACCGGAUAGGAGCUCCGGCUGCAGGGGGGGGGUCGGAAAGUUUCGGCGGUUGGGGAUGGACGCGCGACCUAGCAGCUUGUUGGUGGGGUAGUGGCUUACCAAGGCUGUGACAGGGAGCCGGCCUGAGGGGGUGACCGGCCACAUUGGGAGUGAGAUACACACGAGUCCCCUACGUGAGGCAGCAGUGGGGAAUAUUGCUUACUGGGCGGACGCCUGUCGGAGAAACCCCGCGUGCGGGAUGACGGCCUUCGGGUUGUAAACCGCUUUCGCCUGUGACGAAGCGUGAGUGACUGUACCGGGUAAAGAAGCACCGGCUAACUACGUG